rnacentral:rRNA from 1 species
UACGUAGGGGGCAAGCGUUGUCCGGAUUUAUUGGGCGUAAAGAGCGUGUAGGCGGCCAUGCAGGUCCGUUGUGAAAACUCGAGGCUCAACCUCGAGACGCCGGUGGAAACCGUAUGGCUAGAGUCCGGAAGAGGAGAGUGGAAUUCCUGGUGUAGCGGUGAAAUGCGCAGAUAUCAGGAAGAACACCCGUGGCGAAGGCGGCUCUCUGGGCCUUACCUGACGCUGAGGAGCGAAAGCGUGGGGAGCGAACAGG